CCCUUAGAUGUUCUGGGCCGCACACGCGCUACACUGAAGGAGGCAGCGUGUACUCCUGGAUCGAAAGAUUUGGGUAACCCGCGAAUCUCCUUCGUGCUAGGGAUUGAGGUUUGCAAUUAUCCUUCAUGAACGAGGAAUUCCCAGUAAGUGCAAGUCAUAAGCUUGCGCUGACUACGUCCCUGCCCUUUGUACACACCGCCCGUCGCUCCUACCGAUUGAAUGAUCCGGUGAGCUUUUUGGACUGUGGUCACGGCUUUGGUUCGCCAAACUGAGGCCGCGGGAAGAUGCGCAAACCUUAUCAUUUAGAGGAAGGAGAAGUCGUAACA
rnacentral:rRNA from 1 species